rnacentral:tRNA from 1 species
GCGGGAGUGGUGAAACUGGUAGACGCGCGGGACUCAAAAUCCCGUGGGGGAUGACCCCGUGUCGGUUCGAGUCCGACCUCCCGCA